UGAAUCGAUAGAUAAUGUGUCUAUUUGCACAGGCACACUACUCUCCCCCAACAAAACUCUUGUCACUCUCACUUUUAUUUCUUAAUUGAUCUUUGCCUCCCCAUUCCUUCUGCGUUGAUACCACUGUUU